rnacentral:lncRNA from 1 species
UUGGGUGGGAGAUAUCCACAAGUGCAGGACCCCAUGGCUCCAUGUGCCUGCUGGGAGUCGAUAGAGUCGGUGAACCGCCACUGCUGACAGCUUCCCAACAUGUUACCAGCCCAUAUGAGCGAAUUGGUUUGCACAACACUAGGUCGAGAAGAAAAGAAAGGCGUUUAUGUGUUCAAUGUUUACUGCUUCGCAAUGUCCCACGGUGACAGCUCUUCAGAGGAACGGAAUCUAUGAUAUCACCUGUGCAAACCAAUUUAUGUCAAGUGCUUCGCGCUCACACGGCCACUCGGGCGCAUGAGCCAAUCGAUGUUCGGCAUACCGGCAUACCGCAUACGGCUGCGCCAUGGCUCUAUAGCUUACUUGGUAGUGCACUAAUUACGCCGGUGUCAUAAGUUAUCACUUAGGAAGUGCCUACACACACAACUCUGACCACCAGCGGAGGCGCCGGUCAAAUACCGGUCGUCGUCUCCGAGCCUCGCGUACAUAGGUGCCCGCUUCGCUCCAUUCUUAUGUUUAGCUGUAGGAAGCUGCAAGAGAGCAGCUUGGGGCCUUGGCGGGGCUCUGGGUGCGCGUCUGCUUUGACGUUGAUGCCGCUGGCUUGCCGUGUCGCCCACGCUCACAGCUAGUUGAACAGCAUGCACAAUAUGCCCGAAAUACGACAAAAGAAAUCUUUGGUGUGAAAGGGGGCGCACGCGGUGCUUGUUUGGACAGGGGCAGGGUAGGCCCUUGAGAGCGGCCUGGAGCCGGCUCCGUGCAAACAAGCGGCUGCAGGCUGGCCG